GGGUAUAUAGCUCAGCGGUAAAGAACUCGACUGCAAAUUGAGAGUUCUCCGGUUCAAAACCGGGUGUGCUCU